UGAGGAAUAUUGGACAAUGAGCGCAAGCCUGAUCCAGCCAUGCCGCGUGAGUGAUGAAGGCCUUAGGGUUGUAAAGCUCUUUCACCGGUGAAGAUAAUGACGGUAACCGGAGAAGAAGCCCCGGCUAACUUCGUGCCAGCAGCCGCGGUAAUACGAAGGGGGCUAGCGUUGUUCGGAAUUACUGGGCGUAAAGCGCGCGUAGGCGGACCGUUAAGUCGGGGGUGAAAUCCCAGAGCUCAACUCUGGAACUGCCUUCGAUACUGGCGGUCUCGAGUCCGGGAGAGGUGAGUGGAAUUCCGAGUGUAGAGGUGAAAUUCGUAGAUAUUCGGAGGAACACCAGUGGCGAAGGCGGCUCACUGGCCCGGUACUGACGCUGAGGUGCGAAAGCGUGGGGAGCAAACAGGAUUAGAUACCCGUGUAGUCC
rnacentral:rRNA from 1 species